rnacentral:rRNA from 1 species
GUUAACUUGGGCGGUAAAGACGCAUGCAGGUGGUUGUUAAGUCAGAUGUGAAGACCGGGCGUCAACCUCGGAACUGCAUUUGAAACUGGCAGACUAGAGUACUGUAGAGGGGGUAGAAUUUCAGGUGUAGCGGUGAAAUGCGUAGAGAUCUGAAGGAAUACCGGUGGCAAAGGCGGCCCCCUGGACAGAUACUGACACUCAGAUGCGAAAGCGUGGGGAGCAAACAGGAUUAGACACCCUGGUAG